rnacentral:rRNA from 1 species
CUGCUAUACAUGCAAGUCGAACGAGUUCUCGUUGAUGAUCGGUGCUUGCACCGAGAUUCAACAUGGAACGAGUGGCGGACGGGUGAGUAACACGUGGGUAACCUGCCCUUAAGUGGGGGAUAACAUUUGGAAACAGAUGCUAAUACCGCAUAGAUCCAAGAACCGCAUGGUUCUUGGCUGAAAGAUGGCGUAAGCUAUCGCUUUUGGAUGGACCCGCGGCGUAUUAGCUAGUUGGUGAGGUAAUGGCUCACCAAGGCGAUGAUACGUAGCCGAACUGAGAGGUUGAUCGGCCACAUUGGGACUGAGACACGGCCCAAACUCCUACGGGAGGCAGCAGUAGGGAAUCUUCCACAAUGGACGCAAGUCUGAUGGAGCAACGCCGCGUGAGUGAAGAAGGCUUUCGGGUCGUAAAACUCUGUUGUUGGAGAAGAAUGGUCGGCAGAGUAACUGUUGUCGGCGUGACGGUAUCCAACCAGAAAGCCACGGCUAACUACGUGCCAGCAGCCGCGGUAAUACGUAGGUGGCAAGCGUUAUCCGGAUUUAUUGGGCGUAAAGCGAGCGCAGGCGGUUUUUUAAGUCUGAUGUGAAAGCCCUCGGCUUAACCGAGGAAGCGCAUCGGAAACUGGGAAACUUGAGUGCAGAAGAGGACAGUGGAACUCCAUGUGUAGCGGUGAAAUGCGUAGAUAUAUGGAAGAACACCAGUGGCGAAGGCGGCUGUCUGGUCUGUAACUGACGCUGAGGCUCGAAAGCAUGGGUAGCGAACAGGAUUAGAUACCCUGGUAGUCCAUGCCGUAAACGAUGAAUGCUAGGUGUUGGAGGGUUUCCGCUCUUCAGUGCCGCAGCUAACGCAUUAAGCAUUCCGCCUGGGGAGUACGACCGCAAGGUUGAAACUCAAAGGAAUUGACGGGGGCCCGCACAAGCGGUGGAGCAUGUGGUUUAAUUCGAAGCAACGCGAAGAACCUUACCAGGUCUUGACAUCUUUUGAUCACCUGAGAGAUCAGGUUUCCCCUUCGGGGGCAAAUGACAGGUGGUGCAUGGUUGUCGUCAGCUCGUGUCGUGAGAUGUUGGGUUAAGUCCCGCAACGAGCGCAACCCUUAUGACUAGUUGCCAGCAUUUAUUGGGC